rnacentral:misc_RNA from 1 species
GAUGAAGAACGCAGCGAAAUGCGAUACUUGGUGUGAAUCGCAGAAUCCCGUGAACCAUCGAGUCUUUGAACGCAAGUUGCGCCUCAAGCCAUUAGGUUGAGGGCACGUCUGCCUGGGCGUCACAUAUCGUUGCCUGAUGCCAGUUUCCUCGUGAUGGGUGACUGUGCAGGGCGAAUGAUGGCUUCCCGUGAGCAUUGUUGCCUCAUGGUUGGUUGAAAAUUGAGUCCUUGGUAGGGAGCGCCGUGAUAGAUGGUGGUUGAGUGACGAACGAGACCCAAUCAUGUGAGACCCCUACCGAAUUUGGCCUUCAUGACCCACAUGCGUCUUUGGAACGCUCAUGACGAGACCUCAGGUCAGGCGGGGCUACCCGCUGAGUUUAAGCAUAUCAAUAAGCGGAGGA